GAAAAGAACUUUGAAGAGAGAGUUCAAGAGUACGUGAAACCGUUCAGGGGUAAACCUGUAGAAACCCAAAAGAUCGAAUGGGGAGAUUCAUCGACGACGAAGCUGGCUCCCGUUGGCGUGCGAUUCCCCCGUUGGGACCUCGGUUCCAGAACGCGGGGUACACCCCUUCGGCGAACAACCGGCGACGUAGUCGUGCACUUCUCCCUUGGUAGAACGUCGCGACCCGUUGUGUGUCGGUCUACGGCCCGGGCUGUUCGCCUGUCGCGGUGGCAUUCCGCCGCUCGCGGCAGAGGCUCGGUCGCCCGGCCGGCUGCACGACGGUACUCCGACGGUAUCGGGCCGCAACCAAUCCCCAUUCUCGAAUGGUAUAUGCGUCCAGGCCCGUCGCAAGCUCGGACAGCACCCGGAGCGUGUGGACGCAGCGCCCUCCCCGGGUCUGGCCAGCUGUUAGCAGACGGUGUCCUCGGACCGGCCAAGCUUCGAAUUACCGGUCAGCGACGCUAUUGCUUUGGGUACUCUCAGGACCCGUCUUGAAACACGGACCAAGGAGUCUAACAUGUGCGCGAGUCAUUGGGACAUUGAAACCUAAAGGCGAAAUGAAAGUGAAAGUCGUCGUAAGCGUCGACCAAGGGAGGAUGGGCCGCGCGACGUCGCGGCCUCGCACUCCCGGGGCGUCUCGUUCUCGUUGAGAAGAGGCGCACCCAGAGCGUACACGUU
rnacentral:rRNA from 1 species